rnacentral:siRNA from 1 species
UCUGUCUCCUGGUACAGUCAUGGU